AGAGUUUGAUCCUGGCUCAGAUUGAACGCUGGCGGCAUGCCUUACACAUGCAAGUCGAACGGUAACAGGUCUUCGGACGCUGACGAGUGGCGAACGGGUGAGUAAUACAUCGGAACGUGCCCGAUCGUGGGGGAUAACGGAGCGAAAGCUUUGCUAAUACCGCAUACGAUCUACGGAUGAAAGCAGGGGACCGCAAGGCCUUGCGCGGACGGAGCGGCCGAUGGCAGAUUAGGUAGUUGGUGGGAUAAAAGCUUACCAAGCCGACGAUCUGUAGCUGGUCUGAGAGGAUGAUCAGCCACACUGGGACUGAGACACGGCCCAGACUCCUACGGGAGGCAGCAGUGGGGAAUUUUGGACAAUGGGCGCAAGCCUGAUCCAGCCAUGCCGCGUGCAGGAUGAAGGCCUUCGGGUUGUAAACUGCUUUUGUACGGAACGAAAAGCUUUCCUCUAAUAAAGGGGGGUCAUGACGGUACCGUAAGAAUAAGCACCGGCUAACUACGUGCCAGCAGCCGCGGUAAUACGUAGGGUGCAAGCGUUAAUCGGAAUUACUGGGCGUAAAGCGUGCGCAGGCGGUUUUGUAAGACAGAGGUGAAAUCCCCGGGCUCAACCUGGGAACUGCCUUUGUGACUGCAAGGCUGGAGUGCGGCAGAGGGGGAUGGAAUUCCGCGUGUAGCAGUGAAAAUGCGUAGAUAUGCGGAGGAACACCGAUGGCGAAGGCAAUCCCCUGGGCCUG
rnacentral:rRNA from 1 species